rnacentral:rRNA from 1 species
UACGGGGGGGGGCAAGCGUUUGUUCGGAAUUACUGGGCGUAAAGGGCUCGUAGGCGGCCAACUAAGUCGGAUGUGAAAUCCCCCAGGCUUAACCUGGGAACUGCAUCCGAUACUGGAUGGCUUGAAUUCGGGAGAGGGAUGCAGAAUUCCAGGUGUAGCGGUGAAAAUUCGUAGAUAUUCGGAGGAACACCAGUGGCGAAGGCGACUCGCUGGACUGAUACUGACGCUGAGGUACGAAAGCGUGGGGAGCAAACAGG